rfam:Triticum aestivum genome assembly, contig: Triticum_aestivum_CS42_TGACv1_scaffold_395111_5AS
AAAUUACUCCCUCCGUCCCAAAUUCUUUUCUUUGAUUUGUCUAGAUACAGAUGUAUCAAGUCACAUUUUAGUAUUAGAUACAUCCGUAUCUAGACAAAUCUAAGACAAGAAAGUUGGGACAGAGGGAGUAGUUG